ensembl:lncRNA
CUUUGUAAACAAGUCUUCCACGCUGUUUUCUGGAUCGUUGCUUUUCUUUUACUACGGAGAGACGCCGCGGUGCUGCAGCCCGGGAGGAGACGAGCUACAAACAGACGUCAAUACAGAUGUUGAAAUCAAACCUCACUCACAAAAUAUUUCUGAAGACCAGAGGAAUAAUGCAGAGCAGGGAGAAGCAGCACCAGAAAGCCUGCUGUGACCCACAUCACACCUCAUGCUGGGGUCACGGUCUUUCCUGGCACACCUGAGUGACAUCACAAGCAGAGCUGAUGAGACCAGCAGCAGGUGGAGAAGUCCAAGUUUUCAGCGAGUGGAUCCUAUCAGAGGGACGUCUCAGGAGGUGAUCUCAGAUGUGAUGACAUGUUGGAGAGGUGACUUUGGAACGCGUAAUCACGCAUCGUGGAGAGCUUGGAGCACCUGAUGC